rnacentral:lncRNA from 1 species
AAUAAUACAGAAGCUGGAUAAAUUCUCUUGAAUUUUUAUAUGCUGCUGCAGACAUGAAAAUAAUACUGCUAGCAUUUUGUUUACUGUUUUGCUAAUGAUGUUUGGCUGUCCAAAACUUUGUCUUCUGGAAGGGUGAUGGUAGGUUUUUGUUUUGCUUUUAAAAUUUAAAACAAAAAUGUAAAGCUUCUAGUCAGAAAUAAACAUCUAUAAUCUGGAUUAAGAUAAUAAUCAAAAAUCUUUAGUUUUAACAUGUCUAUUUAGAGAUAUAUUUUAUGUGAUACCUAAUAAGGUAUCAUCUAUAUAGUGGAGGAAACAGUGUAGUGAAAUUAUAAACAAAAAAUAUGAGCAGCUCGGAUAUGAAGAAUUCUGUGAAAUAAGGCCAGGGUAAAUUAGCAUAGUCCUCCUUGUCUUAGUUUCUAGUCUGAGAGGAGGAUAUUAACUGCUGAUAAAAUCAGAGUAGGAAACCAAUGCUUCCAUUAAAAAGUUAUAAUUUUGGAUAUUGAAACAGACCUUACUUUUCUCUCUCUUUUUUCCCAGCAUCAAGAAAAUGAUCCAUAUCUCAUUUGCUUGAGAACCAUCAGUCACCAUUCUAGAGAUAUGGCUAAUUACUUUUAAUUAAAAAUAAUAUUUUGAUACAGCUCUGCUGUCUCUGCUGGAAUUGUUUUAAACUUAUUAUGUUCUUACCACCAAUUUUCUGCAAUACAGCUUAGGAGGAAUUUGUUCGAUAGCAACAUGUCUGAAGAGUAUCAAGGAUGAAAUUCUCAAGGGUCUUUAUGUCAUGGAUGGAAAUGGAAUCAUUACUGUAUUUUUGAACUCCUGCUAACGUCAUUGACACCCACCUACAGUCCACUAGAAAUAUAAGAGCAGAGAUCAGUUUGUUCACAGAUUACGGGCAGACUAACCAAGAAGGGGCAAGCCAGAGCCAAAUUCACUGACUGCUCAUCUCCAACAUGUGGAAAGUGGUGCUCCUGGGUCUAUACAUAGUGUUGGCUCUGAGAGGAUUGGCAAAGGGUGCUCCUUUCCAACCAGAAGAAAAAUGGAAACCUCUAGAUAACCCGAGAAACAGAGACCUGUUUUUCAGAACGCUCCAGGCUUAUUUUUCGGGCAGGGGGCUUGAUCUCAGGAGGUUCCCAGCUACUGUCACUGUGAACAAGGAAGGACCAAGGCCUCUCAUGUUCUACGCAGAUCCAAUUGCUUCUGCAUUUGCAGAUUACGAAGAAAGGAAAAAUUCUUUUCCAAGUCAUUUCAAAGGCUGAAAGAUGCUGUUGACCAAGGUAAAGGCUGUAGAACUUCACACGAAGUGAUAACCUUCACAGCAAAAUUUUACUGCUUUGACUUUUUAAUUGUUACCUGACAGUUUAAAAUGUUCUUCACUGUCACAGUUCCUACCUAUGGAAUGUGAUGUCAUGCUGUAAUUAGCAUAUAUUCGGUCUCUUGACAAAUGUUUGGCUGUUUGGCUGCUACUCAGCUGUGGGCUGAGUCGGCUGAGCAGAAUUGUGUUUGAGUGUGAAUAAACGAGGAGUGCAAAAGAGUGCUUGCGGUUAC